rnacentral:ncRNA from 1 species
CAGGAAGCCGGUGUGAAUCCGGCGCGGUCCCGCCACUGUGACCGGCCCGCGUCCGCGCGGUCCGCGAGCCAGGAACUG